rnacentral:rRNA from 1 species
AGUGAACGCUGGCGGUAGGCCUAACACAUGCAAGUCGAACGGCAGCACAGUAAUAGCUUGCUCUUACGGGUGGCGAGUGGCGGACGGGUGAGGAAUACAUCCGAAUCUACUUUUUCGUGGAGGAUAACGUAGGGAAACUUACGCUAAUACCGCAUACGACCUACGGUUGAAAGCAGUGGAUCUUCUGACCUUGCGCGAUUGAAUGAGCCGAUGUCGGAUUAGAUAGUUGGCGGGGUAAAGGCCCACCAAGGCGACGAUCCGUAGCUGGUCUGAGAGAAUGAUCAGCGACACUGGAACUGAGACAAGGGCCAGACUCCUACGGGAGGCAGCAGAGGGGAAUAUUGGACAAUGGGCGCAAGCAUGAUACAGCCAUACCGCGUGGGUGAAGAAGGCCUUCGGGUUGGAAAGACGUUUUGUUGGGAAAGAAAAGCGGCAGGUUAAUACGAAGCUGUACUGACGGUACCCAAAGAAGAAGCACCGGCUAACUUCGUG